CUUACAUCACACCUCAGAAGUGUCAUAUGCCUGGAGGGUGCAGCAAUUGCUCACGUUCCUGGCAGGAGGGACUGUUCACUGAGUCCUUUGACACUUUGCAGUGCUGCGUGGCUGGUAGCUAUGAGAAACUGGGGUGGUGCAUGCGGUUUGGACUGCAUGAUCGCAGUCGAGGCAGCACGUGUUUUGGCACCAGCUUUCCUUUGCUCUGUUGAGGGCCGAUGGGGGCAGAUGGGGGCAGUUUGGUGUUUCGUGUGAAAUGAUCCUUCAUUUCCAGGAGGUUCAACACAGCUAUAAUGAUGUUAGCUUUAAGAUGAAGAGUUUUUCUCAUUACUGUCAUCGUCUCCUUGCUAAUUCAGAG